GAAGAGGCUAAAGGAUGUUUGAUGAA
rnacentral:piRNA from 1 species